rnacentral:rRNA from 1 species
AUUGAACGCUGGCGGCAGGCUUAACGCAUGCAAGUCGAGCGGAGUGAUGGUGCUUGCACUAUCACUUAGCGGCGGACGGGUGAGUAAUGCUUAGGAAUCUGCCUAUUAGUGGGGGACAACAUCUCGAAAGGGAUGCUAAUACCGCAUACGUCCUACGGGAGAAAGCAGGGGAUCACUUGUGACCUUGCGCUAAUAGAUGAGCCUAAGUCGGAUUAGCUAGUUGGUGGGGUAAAGGCCUACCAAGGCGACGAUUUGUAGCGGGUCUGAGAGGAUGAUCCGCCACACUGGGACUGAGACACGGCCCAGACUCCUACGGGAGGCAGCAGUGGGGAAUAUUGGACAAUGGGGGGAACCCUGAUCCAGCCGUGCCGCGUGUGUGAAGAAGGCCUUAUGGUUGUAAAGCACUUUAAGCGAGGAGGAGGCUCUUUUGGUUAAUACCCAAGAUGAGUGGACGUUACUCGCAGAAUAAGCACCGGCUAACUCUGUGCCAGCAGCCGCAGUAA